rnacentral:rRNA from 1 species
AGAGUUUGAUCCUGGCUCAGAAUGAACGCUGGCGGCGUGGAUUAGGCAUGCAAGUCGAACGAGAAUGCGAUCUUCGGAUCGCUAGUACAGUGGCGAACGGGUGAGUAACGCGUGGGAAACCUGCCCUCGAGUGGGGAAUAACAACUCUAACGGGUUGCUAAUACCGCAUAAUAUUGCGGGCCGCAUGGUCCGCAAUCAAAGGUGGCCUCUACUUGUAAGCUGUCGCUUGAGGAUGGUCCCGCGUCCCAUUAGCUAGUUGGUAGGGUAACGGCCUACCAAGGCGACGAUGGGUAGCCGGCCUGAGAGGGUGGUCGGCCACACUGGAACUGAGACACGGUCCAGACUCCUACGGGAGGCAGCAGUCGAGAGGCUUCGGCAAUGGGGGAAACCCUGACCGAGCGACGCCGCGUGGGUGAUGAAGUCCUUCGGGAUGUAAAACCCUGUCAUACGGGAUGAAAAACCGAUCGGUUAAUAGCCUUUCAGUUUGACAGUACUGUAAGAGGAAGCUCCGGCUAACUCCGUGCCAGCAGCCGCGGUAAUACGGGGGGAGCGAGCGUUAUUCGGAUUUACUGGGCGUAAAGGGUUCGUAGGCGGUCAAGUAAGUCAGGGGUGAAAUCUAACGGCUCAACCGUUAAAUUGCCUCUGAAACCGCUUGACUUGAGGACAUGAGAGGAAAGCGGAAUUCUUGGUGUAGCGGUGAAAUGCGUGGAUAUCAAGAGGAACACCAGUGGCGAAGGCGGCUUUCUGGCAUGUUACUGACGCUGAGGAACGAAAGUCAGGGGAGCGAACGGGAUUAGAUACCCCGGUAGUCCUGACUGUAAACGAUGGGCACUAGGUGUGGGAGGUAUCGACCCCUUCCGUGCCGCAGCUAACGCAUUAAGUGCCCCGCCUGGGGAGUACGGCCGCAAGGUUGAAACUCAAAGGAAUUGACGG